CCUACGGGAGGCAGCAGUGGGGAAUCUUGCGCAAUGGGCGAAAGCCUGACGCAGCCAUGCCGCGUGAAUGAUGAAGGUCUUAGGAUUGUAAAAUUCUUUCACCGGGGACGAUAAUGACGGUACCCGGAGAAGAAGCCCCGGCUAACUUCGUGCCAGCAGCCGCGGUAAUACGAAGGGGGCUAGCGUUGCUCGGAAUUACUGGGCGUAAAGGGAGCGUAGGCGGAUAGUUUAGUCAGAGGUGAAAGCCCAGGGCUCAACCUUGGAAUUGCCUUUGAUACUGGCUAUCUUGAGUACGGAAGAGGUAUGUGGAACUCCGAGUGUAGAGGUGAAAUUCGUAGAUAUUCGGAAGAACACCAGUGGCGAAGGCGACAUACUGGUCCGUUACUGACGCUGAGGCUCGAAAGCGUGGGGAGCAAACAGGAUUAGAUACCCUGGUAGUCCACGCUGUAAACGAUGAGUGCUAGUUGUCGGCAUGCAUGCAUGUCGGUGACGCAGCUAACGCAUUAAGCACUCCGCCUGGGGAGUACGGUCGCAAGAUUAAAACUCAAAAGGAAUUGACCGG
rnacentral:rRNA from 1 species